UGCUAAGAUAAUUCCCAGUCCAAGACAGCAGGGGCGGCUCAAAUCAGCGCUUAAUCAGCCUGCCGAGAUAAAAGCGGUUAACCGAUUUCAUACGGCGCCUUUUUCUUCUCGAGAAAAGGGCGUUUUUUUAUUUUUCC
rfam:Elusimicrobia bacterium RIFCSPLOWO2_01_FTLL_54_10 rifcsplowo2_01_scaffold_52616, whole genome shotgun sequence.